rnacentral:rRNA from 1 species
AUUGAACGCUGGCGGCAGGCCUAACACAUGCAAGUCGAGCGGAAGCAGGGUGCUUGCUCCUGGAUUCAGCGGCGGACGGGUGAGUAAUGCCUAGGAAUCUGCCUGGUAGUGGGGGAUAACGUCCGGAAACGGGCGCUAAUACCGCAUACGUCCUGAGGGCGAAAGUGGGGGAGCUUCGGACCUCACGCUAUCAGAUGAGCCUAGGUCGGAUUAGCUAGUUGGUGGGGUAAAGGCCUACCAAGGCGACGAUCCGUAACUGGUCUGAGAGGAUGAUCAGUCACACUGGAACUGAGACACGGUCCAGACUCCUACGGGAGGCAGCAGUGGGGAAUAUUGGACAAUGGGCGAAAGCCUGAUCCAGCCAUGCCGCGUGUGUGAAGAAGGUCUUCGGAUUGUAAAGCACUUUAAGUUGGGAGGAAGGGCAGUAAGUUAAUACCUUGCUGUUUUGACGUUACCAACAGAAUAAGCACCGGCUAACUUCGUG